UAGGGAAUCUUCCACAAUGGGCGCAAGCCCUGAUGGAGCAACGCCGCGUGAGUGAAGAAGGUUUUCGGAUCGUAAAGCUCUGUUGUUGGUGAAGAAGGAUAGAGGUAGUAACUGGCCUUUAUUUGACGGUAAUCAACCAGAAAGUCACGGCUAACUACGUGCCAG
rnacentral:rRNA from 1 species